rnacentral:SRP_RNA from 1 species
ACCCGUCCUCCGCGCGGCGGCACCACUCCCAACUCCCCCAGGGCAGGAAUGCAGCAAGGGUCAGAGUGCUCUACCGGGUGCGCGGAGGGCGCUUUCG